UCUUGCAACGCCCCAGAUCUCCCUCGCAACUAUGAAUUUCAGUUUCAGGGGCAUCAAAGCUGUUGGCCAACAUUCUGUACUCAUGGGCAUAUCUGUUGGGAACUUGAUUGCUAGAUGGGAUGAUGAAACGAGUGAGUUUUGAGAAGGAUGUGAAAAUACAAGAGGCAAUGUGGGAAAGACAACAUGAACUUGC